AGUGAACGCUGGCGGUAGGCCUAACACAUGCAAGUCGAACGGCAGCACAGUAAGAGUUUGCUCUUACGGGUGGCGAGUGGCGGACGGGUGAGGAAUACAUCGGAAUCUACUUUUUCGUGGGGGAUAACGUAGGGAAACUUACGCUAUAACGCAUAAGACCCACGGGUAUAAUAAGAGGGUAUUCGACUCUUAUGCGAUUUAAUGAGCCCAUGUCGGAUUAGCUUGUUGGCGGGGUAAAGGGCCACCAAGGCGACGAUCCGUAGCUGGUCUGAGAGGAUGAUCAGCCACACUGGAACUGAGACACGGUCCAGACUCCUACGGGAGGCAGCAGUGGGGAAUAUUGGACAAUGGGCGCAAGCCUGAUCCAGCCAUACCGCGUGGGUGAAGAAGGCCUUCGGGUUGUAAAGCCCUUUUGUUGGGAAAGAAAAGCAGCAGGUUAAUACCCCGCUGUUCUGACGGUACCCAAAGAAUAAGCACCGGCUAACUUCGUG
rnacentral:rRNA from 1 species